rnacentral:rRNA from 1 species
CCUACGGGAGACAGCAGUGAGGAAUAUUGGUCAAUGGCCGAGAGUCUGAACCAGCCAAGUCGCGUGAGGGAAGAAUGUCCUAUGGAUUGUAAACCUCUUUUGUCAGGGAGUAAAGUCACCCACGUGUGGGUGUUUGUGAGUACCUGAAGAAUAAGCAUCGGCUAACUCCGUGCCAGCAGCCGCGGUAAUACGGAGGAUGCGAGCGUUAUCCGGAUUUAUUGGGUGUAAAGAGUUGCGUAGGUGGCAUAAUAAGUAGCUAGUGAAAUCUGGUGGCUCAACCAUUCAGACUAUUAGCUAAACUGUUAAGCUCGAGACCGUUAGGGGUAACUGGAAUUUCUAGUGUAGGAGUGAAAUCCGUAGAUAUUAGAAGGAACACCAAUAGCGUAGGCAGGUUACUGGGACGGUUCUGACACUAAGGCACGAAAGCGUAGGGAGCAAACGGGAUUAGAUACCCGUGUAGUC